GAUGAACGCUGGCGGCGUGCCUAAUACAUGCAAGUCGAGCGAACAGACGAGGAGCUUGCUCCUCUGACGUUAGCGGCGGACGGGUGAGUAACACGUGGAUAACCUACCUAUAAGACUGGGAUAACUUCGGGAAACCGGAGCUAAUACCGGAUAAUAUAUUGAACCUCAUGGUUCAAUAGUGAAAGACGGUUUUGCUGUCACUUAUAGAUGGAUCCGCGCCGCAUUAGCUAGUUGGUAAGGUAACGGCUUACCAAGGCAACGAUGCGUAGCCGACCUGAGAGGGUGAUCGGCCACCAUGGAACUGAGACACGGUCCAGACUCCUCCGGGAGGCAGCAGUAGGGAAUCUUCCGCAAUGGGCGAAAGCCUGACGGAGCAACGCCGCGUGAGUGAUGAAGGUCUUCGGAUCGUAAAACUCUGUUAUUAGGGAAGAACAAAUGUGUAAGUAACUAUGCACGUCUUGACGGUACCUAAUCAGAAAGCCACGGCUAACUACGUG
rnacentral:rRNA from 1 species